UGGGGAAUAUUGCACAAUGGGCGAAAGCCUGAUGCAGCGACGCCGCGUGAGGGAUGGAGGCCUUCGGGUUGUAAACCUCUUUCAGUAAGGGUGAAGGCUCUCUUUUGUGGAGGGUUGACAGUACUUGCAGAAGAAGCGCCGGCUAACUACGUGCCAGCAGCCGCGGUAAUACGUAGGGCGCGAGCGUUGUCCGGAAUUAUUGGGCGUAAAGGGCUUGUAGGUGGCGUGUCGCGUCUGCUGUGAAAUUCCAGGGCUUAACUUUGGGAUUUCAGUGGGUACGGGCAUGCUAGAGUGCAGUAGGGGAGAUUGGAAUUCCUGGUGUAGCGGUGAAAUGCGCAGAUAUCAGGAGGAACACCGGUGGCGAAGGCGGGUCUCUGGGCUGUUACUGACGCUGAGGAGCGAAAGCGUGGGGAGCGAACAGG
rnacentral:rRNA from 1 species